GUAAAAGCUGCAGUCCGAUAAGAAACACGACCAAUGACCAACCAUAUACAGAGCAAUAACUUCACAUGCCACAUGCUGCUCAGAGGAGGCGGAGGGAACCAUUUACCACCAUGAAGAUAUGAAGGGAUUAUAGCUUGGGUGAUGGACACUAAAUCAAACUAAAUAUGAUUUUAUCCAAAACGAUUUACAAGUGAGAGACAUCACUAAAGCUUCAGUGCAGUGGGAGACCUUGUCUCAGUGUUGCAAAUUGAUGCCAUGAUCACUCCAGAUAAGAUGGUCCCAGUCUUCAUUCAUCACAGAGGAAGCCUCCAACCAACCCCAAAACCAUAAUGAGCAGUUAGCAAAGACAUGUUGAAACAACUGUGAGAGGACUGGUGAUGGUGCAGAGGAAGGCCAACAGAGGAGCCGACGCUCAGACAGGAGUGAAGCUCAGAUACCGGCUUAUCGCCACAGCUGAUUCCAGCUCAACAGGAGGCAGAUCUGAGCUGUAUUUGAUGGCAGACGACUGUGUUCCCACACACAGGGAGGAGGCUCAGAUCUGAUUUGUCAUUUGUGGCUGGAUGUGAGAGAUGGAGGCUGUCGCUCUGGUCUGGAGAGACAGCACAAUGUGAUGUAUGGAUACAAUCAGUCUACUGCGUGUGUGUGAGUGUGUCUGUCUGAUUGUGUGUGUGGGUGUGUAUCUGGAGACCACAGGCACCAGAGUAUUGUUUCUGUGUGGGAAAUAACAACAACCUAUUACUAUGUAUAUGUCUAUCAAUAUUGUCAUAAAUAUUGAUUUAAUAAUUUUUUGGGAAAUAAAUAUCAUCUGUUGUCUUAUAAUAUAUCAACCAAAAAACUAAUACAUCAGAACUGUAUUACAAUGGGUGAAAGCCAAACAUUUAUGAUUGAGAAGGUGUGAGGGUGAAGAAGAACAUUAUGCAUGAGUUGGUUGUUGGCAGCGUCCCUGUGAAGAAAAACAAAAUAACCAGAAUUAGUAGGAAUAUCAGUAAAAUACAGCAGCUGAAAAGUCUUAAAUUAUUAUUGCUCCUGUGCUAAAACACCGUGUGUCUUGAGGCUACAUCCACACUACUUCGUUUUCAUUUUAAAACGGCGUUUUCAAACUAAAUCGAUCUCCCCUCCAGACCACUGUUUUAGCUCCGUGUCAGAAACGAUCCCCGUCCAUCCGAUCACCUGAAAACGCACCUGAGCA